ensembl:lncRNA
ACCAAGUACAUGCCAGACACUUUACAAAUAUUUACAGCUCUCCAAGUUACACAUAUGACUCUCAUAUUAUUGCCAAACUGAACUUGGGUCGACUUGCCCACGUGCAACAAAGCCAAAACAGUCACACCGUACAACACAGUGUAGAGGACCACGCAAGAAUGGGCAGCUAAUGCUCAGAAGACCCACACUCCCUGAUGGCUUUCAAGGCAGGCUUUUGAAAGUGUCUAUAAGGAUUCAAGAGACAGCAAGAGAAAACUCUGGGGGCCAAGUGCUCCCCUGCCUCCCCAACAUAUUCCUUCAGGAAAUAAGGUUCUCAUGUCCUCCUUAGGUUCCAUCGAGUCAGACCACUCGACAAGACAUUGCUCACAGUUGAAAAAAGUCCAUAUGAGAGAAAGAUUCUGAAGACGCACCUUGGAACUUCUCACUUCUACAGACCCCAUGAGAGCUCUUCCCUCUAAAUCUACAAAUCUGAAAUUCCAACUGUAUGAACAAACUUGAAAUGUGCCUAGUGGAACUGAGCAAUUGGAUGAGUUUCAUGUUUUAUAUUAAUAGAGUGAGUUAAUUAUUGAUUGAAGUAGACAGCUGUGAACAGGUACCUCUGGCUAAUGGCUAUCACACUGUAUAACACAGAUCUAGAGUAUCAAAGAUGAAGGAGCUAUUAUUGCUCUUCCUGUGAUUGUUCCCUAUUGCGGAGUAGUGUGCUGGUCUGAUCUGAUCAUUCAUUUGUAAGUAUUUCCUGAGCUCAUGCAUACAAGCCACAAAUUCUCAAAUUGUAGAGGGAGAGAAUUUAUUCUGGUCCAACAGCUGACACUCAGUAGAAGAACCUGGUGUCCAGGGGCAAGUACCUACAGGAGUUUUGUGUCCCAGCAGAUUAUAUGCCACAUAGGCCAGUGAUAAACACAAAACCACAAUCUCUUGUGCACGAUACCCUUUGGGUGCUCAUCAGACACCAGUCUUUCAAAUUGGCAGUGACCAAAAGGAAAGAGCAGUCCUUAUAGAAAAGAUGGUUUUUGCAUACAAAGGAAGAUGUGCGUGUGUGGUAAGUCACUUCAGUCGUGUUCCAACUACUUAUGACCCUAUGGGUUGUAAGCAGCCAGGCACCUCUGUCCGUGGGAUUCUCCAGGCAAGAGUCCUGGACUGGACUGCCAAUUCCUCCUCUAGGGGAUCUUCCUCACCCAGGGAUCGAACCCUCGUCUCCUGCCUUGCAGGUGGAUUCUUUACCACUGAGCCAUCAGGGAAGUCCACAAAGGAAGAUGAGCAAUUAUAAUCACAGCACAGACAGAGCUCGUGGCGAGAAUCCUUCUUACUUUUAAUAUUAAAAUAUGAAAUGGACAUUUCUACAUGUAUUUCCUGUUUUUCAAUGU